UGCAGCUGAACCUGCCGGUGAAGGCGCCACAUCCAGGACUGAGGCUCUGGGAGAUGCUGAGGGUGUGUCUACAGGGAGGAGAUUCAUACGUACAUUGGUGGUUAUUGCCAACAAGACCACUCUGCAUGGCAGGGGUCCUCCACCAGAAGAGAUCAAAGACAUGGCAGACAAGAAAUUCCUGGACCCAUUAGAAAUCAUGUGGCAAAUGCUGAAGGAACGUCUGCAGAGAAGGCAAGAAAUCAAAGGAGAGCCUGUGGAGAAAGAAGCAUUUCCCGGAGGAAGCAGGGGCUCCAUGCCAGCCUCUGCUGAAGGAAGGGAGGCCAUGCCAGGCACAGACACAGGAG